UUACGGCCAUAUCACGUUAAAACACCGGUCCUCGUACGAUCAGCGAAGUCAAGCAACGUUGAGCCUGGUCAUUACCUAGAUGGGUGACUGCUUGGGAAUGCUGGUUGCUGUAA